UACAGAGGGGCAAGGCGUUGUUCGGAAUUACGUGGGCGUAAAGGGCGCGUAGGCGGCCUGCUAAGUCGAACGUGAAAUCCCUGGGCUCAACCCAGGAACUGCGUCCGAUACUGGUUGGCUUGAAUCCGGGAGAGGGAUGUGGAAUUCAGGUGUAGCGGUGAAAUGACGUAGAUAUCUGGAGGAACACCGGUGGCGAAGGCGACAUCCUGGACCGGUAGUUGACGCUGAGGCGCGAAAGCCAG
rnacentral:rRNA from 1 species